ACUGUACAAAAUUUCAGACAAUUUGGUUUAGUUUAAGCCCUUUAACUAUUCAUUUUGUUCUAAAAAUCAGCCUUUCGCAUGCUUAAUUGAUGCCUUUACCUAAUUUGCAUAUUGCUGACAUAUGCAAAUUAGGCAAAUGCAUUAAUUAAGCAUGCAAAUAGCUGAUUUUUCGGGAAAAUUGUAACUUUGUGUGAAUAGUUAAGGGGCUUAAACUGAACCAAAUUGUCUGAAAUUUUGUACAGUAAUUAAAAUCCCGACAAAUUUUCCAUCUGUUAACUCAAAAUAUGAUUGCAACUUUUAAAUUUUGUGCGCGAGCCAUUUUUAGUUUGUUGGAAAAGACACCCCCCCUGGUUCACAAAAUUUGAGUUCGAGAAAUUUUUUUCAUUAUUUUACAUUAUAAGUACCCAAAGAAGCUAUAUAUAUAAAAAACCAGAUACAAAUAGCUGUUUUGCGAAAUUGAGAGCAAUUUUAAACCUGUUCAGUUUUUUUUGAUACACCC
rnacentral:lncRNA from 1 species